AACAGGGAUUACCUCAGUAACGGCGAGUGAAGCGGUAACAGCUCAAAUUUGAAAUCUGGUCCGUUUACGGGCCCGAGUUGUAAUUUGUAGAAGAUGCUUUGGUGACGAGUCCGGCCUAAGUUCCUUGGAACAGGACGUCAUAGAGGGUGAGAACCCCGUAUGCGGCCGGGUGCUCGAUGCUAUGUAAAGCUCUUUCGACGAGUCGAGUUGUUUGGGAAUGCAGCUCAAAAUGGGUGGUAAAUUUCAUCUAAAGCUAAAUAUUGGCCAGAGACCGAUAGCGCACAAGUAGAGUGAUCGAAAGAUGAAAAGCACUUUGGAAAGAGAGUUAAACAGUACGUGAAAUUGUUGAAAGGGAAGCGCUUGCAACCAGACUUGGGCACUGUGGAUCAUCCGAGGUUCUCCUCGGUGCACUCGGCAGUGCGCAGGCCAGCAUCAGUUUGGGUGGUUGGAUAAAGACUUGUGGAAUGUAGCUCCUUUCGGGGAGUGUUAUAGCCACAGGUGCCAUGCGACCAACCCGGACUGAGGACCGCGCUUCGGCUAGGAUGCUGGCGUAAUGGUUGUAAGCGACCCGUCUUGAAACACGGACCAAGGAGUCUAACAUCUAUGCGAGUGUUUGGGUGUUAAACCCAUACGCGGAAUGAAAGUGAACGUAGGUGAGAACCCAUAAGGGGGCAUCAUCGACCGAUCCGGAUGUCUUCGGAUGGAUUUGAGUAAGAGCAUAGCUGUUGGGACCCGAAAGAUGGUGAACUAUGCCUGAAUAGGGUGAAGCCAGAGGAAACUCUGGUGGAGGCUCGCAGCGGUUCUGACGUGCAAAUCGAUCGUCAAAUUUGGGUAUAGGGGCGAAAGA
rnacentral:rRNA from 1 species